GCUCGAGUGGCGAACGGGUGAGUAACACGUGAGUAACCUGCCCUUGACUUUGGGAUAACUUCAGGAAACUGGGGCUAAUACCGGAUAGGAGCUCCUGCAGCAUGGUGGGGGUUGGAAAGUUUCGGCGGUUGGGGAUGGACUCGCGGCUUAUCAGCUUGUUGGUGGGGUAGUGGCUUACCAAGGCUUUGACGGGUAGCCGGCCUGAGAGGGUGACCGGCCACAUUGGGACUGAGAUACGGCCCAG
rnacentral:rRNA from 1 species